GCGCGAAAACUUUACAAUGCAGGAAACUGUGAUAAGGGAACCCCGAGUGCCCGUAUACGCGGGCUGUCCGGGUGUAUAAAAGCAUCUGAAGAAAGGGCCGGGCAAGACCGGUGCCAGCCGCCGCGGUAAUACCGGCGGCUCGAGUGGUGACCACUUUUAUUGGGCUUAAAGCGUUCGUAGCUGGAUUCUUAAGUCUCUUGGGAAAUCCCGCGGCUCAACCCGUGGGGCGUUUAAGAGAUACUGGGAGUCUAGGAACCGGGAGAGGUAAGAGGUACUUCGGGGGUAGAAGUGAAAUUCUGUAAUCCUCGAGGGACCACCGAUGGCGAAGGCAUCUUACCAGAACGGCUUCGACAGUGAGGAACGAAAGCUGGGGGAGCGAACGGGAUUAGAUACCCCGGUAGUCCCAGCCGUAAACGAUGCGCGUUAGGUGUACUGGUGACCACGAGUCACUGGGUGCCGAAGGAAACCGUGAAACNUGCCGCCUGGGAGAUACGGUCGCCAGCU
rnacentral:rRNA from 1 species